UACGUAGGAGGCGAGCGUUGUCCGGAGUUACUGGGCGUAAAGGGUGCGCAGGCGGCGGUUCGCGUGGCGAGAUGAAAUCUCCUGGCUUACCUGGGAGGAUGGUCGCCAGACGGGAUCGCUUGAGGGUCGGAGAGGGGCGUAGAAUUCCGGGUGGAGCGGUGAAAUGCGUAGAUAUCAAGCGGAACACCGGUGGCGAAGGCGGGUCUCUGGGCCGUAACUGACGCUGAGGAGCGAAAGCGUGGGGAGCGAACAGG
rnacentral:rRNA from 1 species